rnacentral:rRNA from 1 species
GAUUAAGUUAUUAAGGGCGCACGGUGGAUGCCUUGGCAAUAGAAGCCGAUGAAGGACGUUACUAACGACGAUAUGCUUUGUGGAGCUGUAAGUAAGCUUUGAUCCAGAGAUUUCCGAAUGGGGAAACCCAGAAUGAGUUAUGUCAUGUUAUCGAUAUGUG